AUGAUCUCCCUGCCGCCGUCACUCCUCAACUACUCUCUUCUUCCACCGCAAGCCACCAGAGCUCAAGCUCCUCUUUCUCUUCUCCUUGCUUCUCCUCCCACGAACAAGAGGCAUGCUGUUGCAGCUUAUCCGCUUCCCUUCCUUCCAAUCAGCGCAGACCAAGCACAUGCCAGUACCAAUGAUCAAGAAGCAACCGCAAACCACAUCUUACUCUCUCCGCCCCCUAACGUAAAGCACCAGAAAACCCCAAUGCGAUCGGAUCCUCCUGCUGCUAUUGGCCAAAUCCCAAGCCAUAGCCCACAACUUUUCUCCCCAAGACUUGAAUCAGCCACCACCAAGCAAUUCUACUCCUCGUCUCUUCCUAAUCAACCCCACCAGAGCAACAACAACCACAGCAGAGCAAGUUCGAUCCCUCCCAACUCUCUCCAUUCUUGCCUCCAGCGAGAGCAGGGUAAGCACAUCAGCAGCACGCCACGGCCAUGCUUCUAGGACGCGAGCUCCCAGAUGCGGCGAGGCACCAACGCCUCAAGGAAGAAGGUGCUGUCCUGAACAUUCUCCCAUGACAAACUACUUGCAAGUCAACCACGUCUUCAACAUAUUUGUAGAGAAGAAUUUUCAGUUUGUUGAACGUCAGGGCGUCCUUUCACCAUCUGUAUGUGCACAAGACGUACCAAACGCCCAACUGGCUCUCAAUGGGUCAUCAGUACACUAAGAAGUAGCAGAUACACCACAGGUCCUACUGUCAAUGCUAGAAGUGUGUGAUCUCAGAAAUUUAGUGCUGCAAUCACUUGGGGAAUACAUGAUGAGAAUGAAAGCACAGAACAGACUAAACAAGGAUCAGAAAUAGACCUCUUCUGCGUGCAGUGUUCAUUUCUAUUAGCACAACAGGUACCCAAAAAAAACUCGCUAGCACAACAGGUACCCCAAAAAAGAACAGAAUAUGCAUGCUCAGGCAAGUGCAAGCUGCUGUCGAUCGGUUUCCCUUCCUUUCCUCAGCUCUCCACAGCGACAAUAUGGGACAGUAGCACAACGACUCCAAUGGUGUCUCUCGGCAGGCGGUUGGUGUAUCUUUCAUUCUUAAGGAGAGAGGUAGGCCGGUAAGGAGCAGUGAUACUUAUAUAUAGCCCACUUCCUCGUGCUAUUAUAUAUGCGAGCACACUUCUUGGAGUUGCAUUGGAGUCUAGGAUGCGGAGAUGCAUUGCGUCCAUAUUCACCUACUGAUGGGCCAAGAUUGUCAUGCUAAUUAUGAACCACCAAUCCAGUUUCAGACAUACUGACUUUCGUACGGUCAAUUGGCAGGACGACAUGAAAAACAAAAUGAAAGCGUGACUAAAGGUUCAGGGAGCAGAGCAGAUCUACUGAGUCCUGGACGAUGAUGACGGCAAGAAAUUCACUUACUUUAUAGUAUGUUUCUCAUCUCAUCAGUCAGUGUUGAAAAGCUAUGACAGCCCCACAUUCGUUCAUCAGUCAACUUUGAGAUGGAACUGAAGCAGGCGCUUCCAUGGGCACAGGAGGAGGUGCUUCAGCAGCAUGAGAGACCACAGGGGAGGCUGUGGAUCAUCUAUAAAUGUUGUUCUACUUCUUUUGAAGACGAACGCGAGAGUGGAAGCUGAUGCUGAUCAGAAGACUGACAAGAAAAAAUCGCAAAAAAAAAUACAGAUACAAGUACUUCAAUAAUAUGAAGUUCGCAAGUCUUAAUUUACAGCAUCAUUAUAUACUACCCCAGUACGACAAUUAUACUGAUAUUAGAAAAGAAAGGAAUAAGACAAGCGUGAGCAUCGAAGGAAGCACACUUUAGUUUGGUCAGAGAGAUAUGAAUAUGUGAUGGUUCAUCGAGUGAUGCAAUUGGACAUUUGUUACAAACUGUUUGAUAAGGGUUGGGUGCAGUAUUAAUUUUGGCACUGAAACAAGACAACCAACUGACAGCGUGUAUCAUCAUCAUCAUGAGACUUAAAGCAGAGGAUCCGUGCUCAUCGUCUGCCUGCUCAUCAUCAUGAGACUUAAAGCAGAGGAGACUUAAAACAGCAAAUGAAAUUUAUCUGCACAUAUACCUUGGGGUUGUAUAUAAAUUGCAGGUGGUUGGUACGUAAGCCAUUCAUAAGACAAGAGAUCGCCGCCUCAAGAAAUGAUAAAAGGGAGGAGUAGGAAGUAGCACCCGCCAAAGCUCAUGUCUAUGUAGCUUUUGCUUGUUCAGAGCCAAGAGCAACUCCCUGUGGAUUUAGAAAGGGGAAGGAAGAUGAGAGUUCGUAGUCAGUGUCAUUAGCUACUUGGGCAAGAAGUAAGAUUGAUUAGGAAUUGGAGGGUUCAGGAAUCCAAAAUACACUUAUAGUCUGCGUGGGAGGUGAAGCACGCCCAAUGCACACGGCCAGCAUGUGGUUAAAUUGUUUGUCUAUCAGCUGCCAGCAUGUGGUUAAAAGUGAUCUCGUCCUGACCUCUAGCCACUGCAUGGGCGUAGUGGAUCUUGAGGACGAAGAUGUGUUGUGCGUGAGGAGGCCGAAGUUUCCGAGGGGAGUUGAGCAACUACCUGCAACUAUCAUUUACCGGGAUAUUGUCAUGGACGUCGCUGUCCUCGGGGUGGCGGGAUUGACGUGUGUGUCGCCACUGCGCUUCGCACCGGAGGAGGAUGCCACCGUCGGGGAGAGUGUUAUCUCGGUCGGGUACUGCGACCCGGACGCCCUCUUGACUGGUGUGACCUUUUCAAGGCUCCCUAGUCUCUCACCCGGGCUCGUCAGCCAGAGGGGACUCGCUACAUUUGUACUCAUCAGGGUAUCGAGCUCUACCAUGUUUUGCUCAGCUGUGUUUGUAUGGAGGGUAUGUCCGGUGGACCCAUUCUAUCGAGGAGAGGUGUUAUCGGGAUGGUCGAUUGCGGUGGUCGUGGUGCUAUCGAGAUGGGUGGUCAUAGCUACACGGAGGCUAAAGCCCCACACACGAUCAUUGAGGUGUUGAAGAGGUGCCUUGUUUUGCAGGGCAUUCUGACCAUGGAGGAGGCGAUCGGGCUCGAGUUGACCAUGGAGGAGGUGCUGGACUUGAUCGCGUGAUGUACUGCUCUUAUGAUCAGGACCAGAUCGAUCAGCGACCCGGCCACACAUUCAUCGCCACCAAGGCCAUGCAGAGCCAACAGGAGUUCUUGGACCAAUUUGUCUUUUUUAAUGGUUUUUUGCCUUCUGUGCGGUGAUUCGGUGAACAUGGGGCGGAUCAAACCGGCUCGCAGGAGCGGACAGCUUCCUCGUGCACUGUACUAUAUCCUGCGGCAACGCCAAAUCACACAUUAUUGUAGUGUUGUUAGGCUUUUGGGAUUGAUUUAAUCGUGGCGAUUGGCGAGUGACUUAAAUGGGCUAUGCUGGUUUGGCAUGCGGAGGCCUAAAUUCAGUUCUCUCUGGACCUUCUCUGCUUUUUUCCCUAAAGUAAUUUACAACGAUUUUGGGCAACAUCUACCUUCUUCUUUUCAUCUUGCAAGAUGUUUG